rnacentral:rRNA from 1 species
AACCUGCCCAAGAGAUCGGGAUAACACCUGGAAACAGAUGCUAAUACCGGAUAACAACAGAUGAUGCCUAUCAACUGUUUAAAAGAUGGUUCUGCUAUCACUCUUGGAUGGACCCUGCGGUGCAUUAGCUAGUUGGUAGGGUAACGGCCUACCAAGGCGAUGAUGCAUAGCCGAGUUGAGAGACUGAUCGGCCACAUUGGGACUGAGACACGGCCCAAACUCCUACGGGAGGCAGCAGCC